UAAUGGUGAAUUUUUCCUGGAAUCCAGAA
rnacentral:sRNA from 1 species